UACGUAGGUGGCGAGCGUUGUCCGGAUUUACUGGGCGUAAAGGGAGCGUAGGCGGACUUUUAAGUGAGAUGUGAAAUACCCGGGCUCAACUUGGGUGCUGCAUUUCAAACUGGAAGUCUAGAGUGCAGGAGAGGAGAAUGGAAUUCCUAGUGUAGCGGUGAAAUGCGUAGAUAUUAGGAGGAACACCAGUAGCGAAGGCGGCUCUCUGGACUGUAACUGACGCUGAGGCACGAAAGCGUGGGGAGCAAACAGGAUUAGAUACCCGGGUAGU
rnacentral:rRNA from 1 species